GGUCUUAAGAGAUCACCUUUUUCCUGUGAUAAGUAACUCUUAUAAUCCGAGCACUAACAGAUGUUAGAAAAUUCAGGCUGGUAAAUAGCCCUCGUAAAAUGCAAGAUGGAUCUUUAUUAUUGCUAUUACAUGUUUUAAACACUGUAAAUCUAGGAGCUUAGAAUGAAUAAAGGGAGUGGCCUCUGGGAAAUCCAGCAGCUCUGAGAAUGUGGAAAUUAAACAUAAACCCCCAAAGGAAAUCCUUUAGUAGCCAAAUGGGGAGAAGAUACAGAAUAUUUCCCAAAGAAUUGGUCCAGUUCCCUCAAAAUAGCUUCUGUCACCAGGCCUCAUCAGUGCUGUUACCAUGUCCCCCACACCGGAUUUCACCAUUCUGGGAAAAAGAAUACCAGUCAAGGGCUGACCUUGUGUCCCUCCUCAAUCAAACCUCUAGUACCCCUAACCCACCACAACGUCAUUGCCAUAAGAACAUACAAGAGCCUCCUCCAUGGUUCAAACAUUCAGCUAUCACUUCCAAGAUGCCCCAACUUAAUAGAGCAAUGGUGGUGCCAUUGCCCCAUCUUCAUCAUCUGGCUAAACCAUCCCCUCCUCACAAGCAACGUACAGUGGUUCCAGUCUUGCCUUUACCUAGGACUGAUAUCACAACCAAAAAAACUCCUGGGGCUUUGACUCCUCUUGGUCCCAAACACCAACGUGAUUCUCCUUCAGAUCCUAACCACCGGUUAGAGAAUCCUUCAGGCUCUGACCACCUUCCCAAGAUUUUUCCAGCCUGCGAUCAUUCAGAUAUUGAGGAUCUAACACUUCUCAACCAAAAGAACCCAAUCCCACCAUUCUCUAAGCAUCAGACUGAGGUUCCAUUAUGUGAAGGCCACAGGCCCAGGGCUGCUACAAUAGCCAGAAUAUUUUCUGACACCCAGGCCAAGACCAAUGGGCCUUUCACAAGAACCCCCAUUCAGGAAGCCAGAGUUUUGCCAAGACCUAGGCGCCAGAUCAAGGCUACCAAUGCACUGUUAGGACUUUUCAGCUUGGACCCUGUACUCCAUCCACUUGCAAAAUCAUUACCUUUUACCCUCUGGACCAGGACCCCACAUUUCAGAACAUCAGUUCUAAACUACUGGGUCCAGGCCCAACCUCUGAAGGCAUCACAUUGUGAUCUCCAGCCCAGAGAAGCAGUGCCCUUUUUACAAUGCCUUGACCACCAUCCUAGACCCCUAGCUGUACCUACAGCACAUCUGAAUCAGAGAAACAGGGCUACAGCUGUAUGCAGAUACAAUCCUUGCCUGCUACGUGCACCAGGCCCUAUUGCUCAUGUCUCAGUUCAAGCAGAGCAAGACAAUUGGGAGGCUAUGCUGCUGAGAAAGUACCUCCUGGAUACAUGCCCUUCCAGUCCUGAUAUAGAGCCUUCAGCUACGCCACCAGAGCCUUCCACUCCAGUUAAAAAUGACAAAGAUUCCUGGGAAACAAUAUCCCAAGGAACAGACAUCCAGAACACACCUCCAUCCAGUUCUGACCUGGAAAUGGACACAACCCCAGAGCCCGCUGUCCAUAUGUCCAUCAAAACAGGUCCAGAUACCUGGGACGCAACAUCCCCAAGAACAGACUUACAGGAAACACUUCCAUCCAGUACUGACACAGAAACUGACACAGCUCCAGAGCCCAUUGUCCAUAUGUCCAUCCAAACAGGGCCAGACACCUGGGACACAACAUCCCCAAGAACAGACUUACAGGAAACACUUCCCUCCAGUACUGACACAGAAACUGACACGGCCCCAGAGCCUACUGUCCAUGUGUCCAUUCAAACAGAGCCAGACACCUGGGACACAACAACCCCAGAGACAGAUCAGGAGGAGAUCCCUCUAACAGACCAGGAUGAUGAGAUAACUGUACUGGGCUCAAGGCCUCAGAAUGUAACUCUAUGUGGCCCUCGCCAGUGGACCACACCUCCACUCAGCCCUGACCCCUGGGCUGAGCAUGUGCCAGACUCCAAUGCCCUGAUCACACUUCAUCCAGAACUAGAACAAUGGGAAACAAUGCCACAGGAAACAGAUCACCUGGCUACACUUCCAUCCAGCCCCGAUCUGGACACUAAGACUAUAUCGGAACCCUUUGUCCAUGAAUCAGUUCCAGUAAAACAAAAGUACUGGGAAACAAUACUGACAAUUCUACCGGGAAUAUUUGAUCACCAGGAAAUAAUAAUAGAUGAAGCUUAUGAGACAGCACCACCACUGGACUUGGAUGGCCAGGAGAAUAUACUUUUUAGCCCUGAGGAAACAACAACGCCUCUGCCCAGCCCUUCCCACCAGACCGAGGAUAUAUCAAAUCCCGAUGUCCAGGCUACACUUCAACAAAAAUUAGAACAAUGGGCAACAUUGUCAGAGGAAACAAAUCGCCAAGAUACAUUAAUACUUAGCACAGAGUCAGAGACUGAGAAUACUCCAGUGCUCAUUGAUCCUAUCUCAGAUGUAAUAGAGCAAGAAAAAGUUGAAAUCAUAGACAUAAUGCCAGUGAGAAUAGAGCGCAAGGAACCAAACCAAACAGUCGAAGAUCCCUGGAGCAACAGAGGGGCAACAACUCUUUCCUUGGGCCAUGAUGAUGAAGAAAAUGAUCUACAUGGGCCAGACCACCAGACCAUACCACCCCUCAGCCCGGACCAGAAGCGAGAGACUGAGGAUACAGCACACGACCUUGCCCAAGAUUUAGUUACAAGCCAAGAAUCUGGGGAAAUGACACCACCCAGAACAGACCUAAAGACCACAAUUCUAACAGGUCAGGAUGAUGAGGAAACGACUUCAGUGGACUUGGACCCUGAAGACCCAGCUCAACUUGUCCACGAAUCCCAGAUCACACCUCCACUGGCUGAGGAUAUACCAGAUCUAAGUGCCCAGAUGUCACUUCAGCCAGAACCUGUCCCCUCUGACACAAUGUCACCAGGAACUGAGCUUCAAGACAACAUUCAAGGAGACCAGGAUCAAAGGGUAACACCACCAUCAAGCUUAGACCAUGAGGAAAUGACUCUAUCCAGCCCUGACCACUGUACAACCCAUCCAUCCAGUCCUGACAGACAGUCAGAAGCUGCUGAAGAUCUCAGUACCCAGGCUGUAUCUCCAACAGAUAGAGAACACUCAGCAAAAUUGUCUGAGGGUCAAGAGCAGGUCAAAAAUCCACCUAGUCCUAACCUCUCAGUCCAUCUUCCAUCCACCUUGGAAAAUGAGGCUGAAACUGGAACAGAGCCCACCAAGCCACCAAGCACGCCACCAGACAAUUUGGAUGAUGAGGAAACGGUCCCUCCGAGCCCUGACAAGACCAUAUCACCAUCAAGUUCCAACCACCAGACUGAGUCUCCUACAGGUCAUGACCACCAGCCUGAGACUGAGCUGAGCUCCGACCACCAAGACGAGGUUGAAUCUGGGCUCCCAUAUCAGCUCCAUACAUUGCAAAAUAGACAGAGGGAAUUGCAUUUAAAUUACAUCAAACCAUACACCGUCGAGGCGGGGACUGUCUCUGACAGAACUGUUCAUGCCAUCAUCAAUUCCAUCCCUCAGGAGAAAAUAAAAAAUGACAUCUGUAAGCAGAUUCUCCUGCCUCUGAGUCUUCAUAGAUACAGCCCAUGCGAUUAUAUAGUCUGUUUAAUUUGUGCCUCCUGGAUCCCAGCUGGUUGCCCACAUGAGGGGAUGAAAUAUCCAUGUGAAGCUCAUUUGCAAGCCAUUCCAAUACCUAUGCCCACGUCUGAGGUGGAGAUUGAUGUGAAAUUUGUCCUCAAAUGCCCCCAAGCAACAGUCUCCUCCCUUUUCAGCACCUCAAACACCCAUAGCCAUUUGAAAAAGUCAUCAGAAGGUGCAGAAUCAUCUCACUCAGACUCAGUAAUCCCUGUUCCUUCAAGACCAAAGUGGUUUCACUUCAUACUAGGCAAGUCUCUCCCACAAGGGAAGAAAGACAUCACGAGAAACCCAGAGCUAUCCAUAGACAAAACCUUUGAGGAGGGAAGCAACAGCAAAGAAGGGGAGAAGGCCAAGGUACAUCGGACAUCUUUCAGAUCUCUCCUGGAGAGAUUUCAGUGGAGGCGAAAGGAAACUAAAUGACUAUCUUUAUUUUGAAAGAAAUUGAUCCCCUGUGUAUUUUUGAAAUGUGUGUCUUUUUUUAUUGUUAUUUGAGGUGUUACAAGGGGAGAUGAUAAACCU
ensembl:lncRNA